CGUUAAUCGGAAUUACUGGGCGUAAAGCGCACGCAGGCGGUCUGUUAAGUCAGAUGUGAAAUCCCCGGGCUUAACCUGGGAACUGCAUUUGAAACUGGCAGGCUUGAGUCUUGUAGAGGGGGGUAGAAUUCCAGGUGUAGCGGUGAAAUGCGUAGAGAUCUGGAGGAAUACCGGUGGCGAAGGCGGCCCCCUGGACAAAGACUGACGCUCAGGUGCGAAAGCGUGGGGAGCAAACAGGAUUAGA
rnacentral:rRNA from 1 species